UAUCUUGAAAAAUAAACCUAUAUGCCCUAUAAUGAGUGGUAUCAGGCAAUUUUGCCUGAUUAUGGCGCUAAACGCGGUUGCGGAAUAAGCGUUGUGGACCCGGGGGCGGUACCCGGCG
rnacentral:tmRNA from 1 species